AAAAACUAACUGCUUGUAGUGUGCCAAGGAGGGAAACACGAUUUAUAUAACAGUUGGCUUUGUGUUAAAAAAAAUUUGGUUUUUAAACAGCAAAUGGGCCGAACUGUAACAGAGACGUUCGUACGUUCUAGGAACGUUCGUACGUCGAGCCCCAAAAACCAAAGAUCUGACUAAGAACACAUUCGUACGUCUUAGGAACGUUCGUACGUUUCAA
rnacentral:lncRNA from 1 species